rnacentral:rRNA from 1 species
UACAGAGGUCCCGAGCGUUGUUCGGAUUCAUUGGGCGUAAAGGGUGCGUAGGCGGUCUUCUAAGUUUGAUGUGAAAUCCCGGGGCUUAACCCUGGAAUUGCAUUGAAUACUGGAGGACUUGAGUACCGGAGAGGAAACUGGAAUUUACGGUGUAGCAGUGAAAUGUGUAGAGAUCGUAAGGAAGACCAGUGGCGAAGGCGAGUUUCUGGACGGUAACUGACGCUGAGGCACGAAGGCCAGGGGAGCAAACGGG